UUGAACGGCUGGCGGCAACGCCUAACACUGCAAGUCGAGCGGCAGCGAGUGCAGUAGCAAUACUGCAUGUCGGCGAGCGGCGGACGGGUGAGUAACACGUAGAACCUGCCAUAUAGAUGGGGACAACCAAGGGGAAACUUUGGCUAAUACCGAAUGCACUCGAGAGAGGAAAGGUGCCCCCGCGGUUUAUCCGCGGGGGAUCGCUAUAUGAGGGGGCUUGCGUCCGAUUAGCUAGUUGGUGGGGUAAAGGCCCCUACCAAGGCGAUGAUCGGUAACUGGUCUGAGAGGACGACCAGUCACACUGGGACUGAGACACGGCCCAGACUCCUACGGGAGGCAGCAGUGGGGAAUAUUGGACAAUGGGGGAAACCCUGAUCCAGCGAUGCCGCGUGGGUGAAGAAGGCCUUCGGGUUGUAAAAGCCCUUUAAGAUGGGAAGAAGAUAGUUAGGUGAAUAGCCUAAUUAUUUGACGGUACCGUCAGAAUAAGCACCGGCAAACUCUGUGCCAGCAGCCGCGGUAAUACAGAGGGUGCGAGCGUUAAUCGGAAUUACUGGGCGUAAAGGGCGCGUAGGUGGUUAUGCGAGUGUGAUGUGAAAGCCCUGGGCUUAACCUAGGAAGUGCAUCGCAAACGGCAUGACUGGAGUACUGUAGAGGGUAGCGGAAUUUCCGGUGUAGCGGGUGAAAUGCGUAGAGAUCGGAAGGAACGUCAAUGGCGAAGGCAGCUACCUGGACAGAUACUGACACUAGAGGCGCGAAAGCGUGGGGAGCAAACAGGAUUAGAUACCCUGGUAGUCCACGCUGUAAACGAUGAGAACUAGAUGUUGGAUGGGGAACCAUUUGGUAUCGAAGCAAACGCGAUAAGUUCUACCGCUGGGAAGUACGGCCGCGCAAGGUUGAAACUCAAAGGAAUUGACGGGGGGCCCGCACAUAGCGGUGGAGCAUGUGGGUUUAAUUCGAUGCAACGCCGAAGAACCUUACCUACUCUUGACAUCCUAAGAAUUCUGCAGAGAUGCGGAAGUGCCGAAAGGAACUUAGAGACAGGUGCUGCAUGGCUGUCGUCAGCUCGUGUUGUGAGAUGUCGGGUUAAGUCCCGUAACGAGCGCAACCCUUGCCCUUAGUUGCCAUCAUUUAGUUGGGGACUCUAAGGGGACUGCCGGUGAAGAGCCGGAGGAAGGCGGGGACGACGUCAAGUCAUCAUGGCCUUUAUGAGUAGGGCGACACACGUGCUACAAUGGUGCGUACAGAGGGUAGCGAAGCCGCGAGGUGGAGCCAAUCCCAGAAAGCGCAUCGUAGUCCGGAUUGGAGUCUGCAACUCGACUCCAUGAAGUCGGAGUCGCUAGUAAUCGCGAAUCAGCCAUGUCGCGGUGAAUACGUUCCCGGGCCUUGUACACACCGCCCGUCACGUCAUGGGAGUGGAUUGUACCAGAAGCGAGUAGCUUAACCUUCGGGGUGGCGCUUGCCACGGUAUAGUUCAUGUGACUUGGGAG
rnacentral:rRNA from 1 species